rnacentral:lncRNA from 1 species
UAUAUAGAGAGAAGAUUUUUUAUAUAUAACCUGUAAACAUAGAAGUAUAUGUUACAUUGAAAAAACAAGGUCAAAGAAUAUUAAGGUAAGUCAGUCUUAAUGUAUUCACAUGUCAUAUAAUAUAUAUAGUCAUUUUCUACUUUUUUUGGGGGGGGGUAUAUAUAAAAAUCCCUCUGUGUGUCAAUGAUUGUCUUUUAACCAGAAUUCCUCAAAUAUGCACUGACACUGAAUCAGCUUAACACAGUUGCAGUACACAACCAGAGAAAGUACACACAUAAACAUUAUCAUGGUAUAAAAUAUUUCAAGGGAGAUAAUUGAACUUACUUAUUUUAACAUUGAAAUAUGUGGCAACAGGUCUUGUAAACACAAAUCCUCAUAAAUGGCUUGAUUGAUAAUGAUUUAAUUUUACACAGUGGCAAUACCGAACAUGAAAAUU